rnacentral:lncRNA from 1 species
CUUUAAGGAACAAGGCUCUUCUGAGGAGCCUCCCUGUGCUCCCCGGUUGGUGUGCUUCCUGCUUUCUCUUAGAACACUUCUGUUUUUAACGAACCUGGACUCCACUUCUUACUGCCUCAUCUCGGAAUUCUUUUCCGCAUCAAAGUCAGGGAUCUGGUUUUUGCCGAGCUGAUGGGUCGCUGAACGGUUAACACAUCUCCUCAGACUGUUGUAUGUGUGCCUCUGUCCCGGCUACUGCUUCUGACUAACCCAGUCUUUGCUUUGUGGACCCGGAGCCUCACCGUGCAUGAACUACGUGGGACCUGAGCACAGGACGCUCAGCUCUGGUUGGCGAGUCACUUACACCAACUUGCCUGGUUGGGACUGUUGUUGAAUCAAUAGCUUUUAUAGUUAGAGAUCGCUGAGGGCAGCGUCUUUGACCUCAGACAGUUUUUAGGGGCUGCAGUGUAAGUUGCCCUAGAUGUCCACACACCUGAGGACUGUCCCCAGCCAGUGCUGGAAGAAGCAGAGGCUUUCACUGGGAGCUCACUGCGCGCUUCCUUCUGCCCACGCUGUGGGAAAGGUCUACUAGAGGCAGGGAGAGAAUAUUCUAGUAAGAGGUUCUCUUGGGGUAGGUAAGCUAGGGUUAAGGAGAAGGGUGGAGUGUCAGAGGCAGCUUAAAACUUUCGAAUGCUAACGUUCCAGCAUGCUUGAACCACUCUUGCUGCUCAGCACAGAAGCGAACAAGAAGAACAGCGGAGACUGCAGACUGACCAGCAAGCUAAAGGCUAAACGGAGGACAGACAGUCCCUUCCUGAGCUGAGGCUAAAGAAGGGUAAGCCGUCCAUCAUAAAUAUGGCCAGCCCGCUCCUUUGUCAAACAGCCAUCCUGAGUUCGAGGCUACACAAAAUGAUAUUUAGCUGGCCCUAAAUGACAAUAAACAGU